GACGAACGCUGGCGGCGUGCUUAACACAUGCAAGUCGAACGGAAAGGCCCUGCUUUUGUGGGGUGCUCGAGUGGCGAACGGGUAAGUAACACGUGAGUAACCUGCCCUUGACUUUGGGAUAACUUCAGGAAACUGGGGCUAAUACCGGAUAGGAGCUCCUGCUGCAUGGUGGGGGUUGGAAAGUUUCGGCGGUUGGGGAUGGACGCGCGGGUUAUCCGCUUGUUGGUGGGGUAGUGGCUUACCAAGGCUUAGACGGGUAGCCGGCCUGAGAGGGUGACCGGGCACAUUGGGACUGAGGUACGGCCCAGAAUCCUACGGGACGCAGCAGUGGGGAAUAUUGCACAAUGGGCGGAAGCCUGAUGCAGCAGCGCCGCGUGCGGGAUGACGGCCUUCGGGUUGUAAACCGCUUUCGCCUGUGACGAAGCGUGAGUGACGGUACUGGGUAAAGAAGCAACGGCUAACUACGUG
rnacentral:rRNA from 1 species